rnacentral:rRNA from 1 species
GAUGAACGCUGGCGGCGUGCCUAAUACAUGCAAGUCGAGCGAACGGACAAGAAGCUUGCUCCUUUGAGGUUAGCGGCGGACGGGUGAGUAACACGUGGAUAACCUACCUAUAAGACUGGGAUAACUUCGGGAAACCGGAGCUAAUACCGGAUAAUAUUUUGAACCGCAUGGUUCAAAAGUGAAAGACGGUUUUGCUGUCACUUAUAGAUGGAUCCGCGCUGCAUUAGCUAGUUGGUAAGGUAACGGCUUACCAAGGCAACGAUGCGUAGCCGACCUGAGAGGGUGAUCGGCCACACUGGAACUGAGACACGGUCCAGACUCCUACGGGAGGCAGCAGUAGGGAAUCUUCCGCAAUGGGCGAAAGCCUGACGGAGCAACGCCGCGUGAGUGAUGAAGGUCUUCGGAUCGUAAAACUCUGUUAUUAGGGAAGAACAUAUGUGUAAGUAACUGUGCACGUCUUGACGGUACCUAAUCAGAAAGCCACGGCUAACUACGUG